rnacentral:rRNA from 1 species
UUUUUAAAAAAAAAAAUAAAGAUUCGUUGGGGACCUGCGGAAGGAUCAUUACCGAAGUGCGGGCCCUCGCGGCCCAACCUCCCACCCGCUGUUCUUUCAUCUACCUGAUUGCUUUGGCGGGCCCACCGGGGCCACCCGGUUCGCCGGGGGACGUCGUCCAAACCGGGCCCGCGCCCAAGCCGAAGCGCUCUGUGAACCCUGAUGAAGAUCGGGCUGUCUGAGUCGAAUGAAAAUUGUCAAAACUUUCAACAAUGGAUCUCUUGGUUCCGGCAUCGAUGAAGAACGCAGCGAAAUGCGAUAAGUAAUGUGAAUUGCAGAAUUCCGUGGAAUCAUCGAAUCUUUGAACGCACAUUGCGCCCCCUGGCAUUCCGGGGGGCAUGCCUGUCCGAGCGUCAUUUCUGCCCUCAAGCCCGGGACUUGUGUGUUGGGCGUGGUCCCCCCGGGGACCUGCCCGAAAGGCAUGCGGCGACGUCCCGUCUCGGUCGACUCGGAGACGUAUGUCCGGGCUCAUGUCACUCGCUCGGGACCUGGAUCGGCGGAGGUUGGUCACCUCCACAGUUUUACCAUCGGUUGACCUCGGAUCAGGUAGGAGUUACCCGCUGAUACUUAAGUCAUAUCGAAUGAAGCGGAGGAAAAGAAACCAAUCCGAGGAUUGCCUCAGUAACGGUUCCGAGUUGUAAGCGGCAAGAGCUAUGCUUCGAAUUCUGUGCCCCUUGUAGUCCGAGUUGUAACUUGCAGAUCAUGCGACGGGUGCGGAUCCCAUCUAAGAUGGGCUGGAACGUGCCCGUGUGUAGCUCCUCGACGAGUCGAGUUGUCUAGGAAUGCAGCGUCUGAGCGGGUGUUAAAUUUCAUCUACAAGUCUAAAUGACUGGACCGGAGACCGAUAGCGCACAAGUAGAUUGUGAUCGAAAGAUGAAAAGCACUUUGAAAAGAGAGUUAAACAGCACGUGAAAUUGUUGAAAGGGAAGCGUUGUCCACCAGACUCGCCCGGGGGGGUUCAGCCGGCACUCGUGCCGGUGUACUCCUCGCCGGGCGGCCAGCAUCGGUUUGGGCGGCUGGUGAAAGGCCCCGGGAAUGUAACUCCUCAGCCGUGCCUUAUAGCCCGGGGUGCCAUGCAGCCAGCCUGACCAGGCCGCGCUCGCAGAUGCGCAUGGUGAAAGGCCCCGGGAAUUAAAACUCGGGGGGCCUUAAACCGGGGCCAU